rnacentral:rRNA from 1 species
CUACGGGGGGCAGCAGUGGGGAAUAUUGCACAAUGGAGGAAACUCUGAUGCAGCAACGCCGCGUGGAGGAUGACACUUUUCGGAGCGUAAACUCCUUUUAUAUAGGAAGAAGAUGACGGUACUAUAUGAAUAAGCGCCGGCUAACUCCGUGCCAGCAGCCGCGGUAAUACGGAGGGCGCAAGCGUUACUCGGAAUCACUGGGCGUAAAGAGCGUGUAGGCGGAUUAAAAAGUCAGAAGUGAAAUCCUAUAGCUUAACUAUAGAACUGCUUCUGAAACUCUUAAUCUAGAAUAUGGGAGAGGUAGAUGGAAUUUCUGGUGUAGGGGUAAAAUCCAUAGAGAUCAGAAGGAAUACCGAUUGCGAAGGUGAUCUACUAGAACAUUAUUGACGCUGAGACGCGAAAGCGUGGGGAGCAAACAGGAUUAGAUACCCGCGUAGUC